rnacentral:rRNA from 1 species
GACGAACGCUGGCGGCGUGCUUAACACAUGCAAGUCGAACGGUAAGGCCCUUCGGGGUACACGAGUGGCGAACGGGUGAGUAACACGUGGGUGAUCUGCCCUGCACUUCGGGAUAAGCCUGGGAAACUGGGUCUAAUACCGGAUAAGACUCCUGGCUUCAUGGUUGGGGGUGGAAAGCUUUUGCGGUGUGGGAUGGGCCCGCGGCCUAUCAGCUUGUUGGUGGGGUAAUGGCCUACCAAGGCGACGACGGGUAGCCGGCCUGAGAGGGUGACCGGUCACACUGGGACGGAGAUACGGCCCAGACUCCUACGGGAGGCAGCAGUGGGGAAUAUUGCACAAUGGGCGCAAGCCUGAUGCAGCGACGCCGCGUGAGGGAUGACGGCCUUCGGGUUGUAAACCUCUUUCAGCUAUGACGAAGCGCAAGUGACGGUAGUAGCAGAAGAAGGACCGGCCAACUACGUGCCAGCCGCCGCGGUAA